rnacentral:rRNA from 1 species
AGGAUGAACGCUGGCGGCGUGCUUAACACAUGCAAGUCGAACGGUGAAAGAGGAGCUUGCUCCUCUGGAUCAGUGGCGAACGGGUGAGUAACACGUGAGUAACCUGCCCUUGACUCUGGGAUAAGCGUUGGAAACGACGUCUAAUACCGGAUACGACCUCCGAAGGCAUCUUCUGGAGGUGGAAAGAAUUUCGGUCAAGGAUGGACUCGCGGCCUAUCAGCUAGUUGGUGAGGUAAUGGCCCACCAAGGCGACGACGGGUAGCCGGCCUGAGAGGGUGACCGGCCACACUGGGACUGAGACACGGCCCAGACUCCUACGGGAGGCAGCAGUGGGGAAUAUUGCACAAUGGGCGCAAGCCUGAUGCAGCAACGCCGCGUGAGGGACGACGGCCUUCGGGUUGUAAACCUCUUUAGUAGGUAAGAAGCGAAAGUGACGGUACUGCAGAAAAGCACCGGCUAACUACGUGCCAGCAGCCGC